GCCCCUGUAGCUCAACGGAUAGAGCACCACACUCCUAACGUGGGGAUCCAGGUCCGAUUCCUGGUGGGGGCA
rnacentral:tRNA from 1 species